rnacentral:rRNA from 1 species
ACUCAAAUGAAUUGACGGGGGCCCGCACAAGCAGCGGAGCGUGUGGUUUAAUUCGAGGCUACACGAAGAACCUUACCUGGGUUUGACAUGCAGGUGGUAGGGAGAUGAAAGUCGAACGACCUUCGGGAGCCUGCACAGGUGCUGCAUGGCUGUCGUCAGCUCGUGCCGUGAGGUGUUAGGUUAAGUCCUGUAACGAGCGCAACCCCCGGAGUCAGUUACACGUAGUCUGGCUCAACUGCCCGUGACAAGCGGGAGGAAGGUGGGGAUGACGUCAAGUCAGCAUGGCCUUUAUAUCCAGGGCUACACACACGCUACAAUGGCCGGUACAAUGGGAAGCCAAGCCGCAAGGCGGAGCAAAUCCUCUCAAAGCCGGUCACAGUUCGGAUUGUGGGCUGCAACUCGCCCACAUGAAGUUGGAGUUGCUAGUAACCGCGCGUCAGCCAUAGUGCGGUGAAUACGUUCCCGGGCCUUGCACACACCGCCCGU